AAAUCUUUUUUUUAAAAAGAUAGAGAAAAAGGCAACAAAAGGUAUUUUGAAAACCUGGAGACCAGUAAAAUAUGUAAAACAGCGUUGACUAUUGUAACUGCUAUCAAAACUCUGCAAUAAUCACCACAGUAAAAUGAUAAUCGAGGUGAAUAAACUUUAUUUACUGUGUGUACUUUAGGGGCUCUGCCUCCUAAACUCUAAUUUUAAACUCAGCAAUUUCAAGAAAUAUGCAGCAUCUAACACGUACAUGUGUUUAUUCUGAGAGUGUAACAAAAAUUAUCUUGACAUUACCUAGUUCCUCUCUGGGCCAUAAUUUUAAUGUGUUCACCCUCUAAAGUAGAUUCCCAUCCCUGUCAGGUCCACAAAAUCAUGUGGUACACAAUGGGACAGAUGUAUGCUUCUUCCAUCUGAUCAUGGUCAUCAGGGCCUCCCUCUUUUAUCUGGAAAUGAACCAUGCUGGCCAACCACAAGGACAUCUUUCCCAACACUUAAAAAUAUGGAGAAAAUGAGAAGAAGGGACUGAGAAUUAAAGGGUUUAACUUUUGUCCCUACUUAAGGUAAGCAAGAGAUAACUGGAACAGUGAUAACUUUCAUCAGACAAGCAAAGGGUCUAGGGCCAAGCCGUAGACAACACUCAGUAACAUGAAUCACCACUAGAUUAAGAUCAGGAACUAAGAAAUAGAUAAUUGAAGCUAAGGGUGUGAGCUUGGUUCCCCAACUUUCUGACGGGCUUCUGGAACAAACACACAUGCACCUGUGCAGGUAUGCUCUCUUCUUUUCCAGGGGUCAAAAGCAACAUUUUUCUGAAAACUGCCUGCUAAGACCAGUUCCCGCCCAUUAUCAGUCAUGGGUGGAUCUGAAGCAGAGGCGGGUUAGGACGCUGAGCACCUUUCAGACCACUGCACUCCAAUAAAAUGAAGCUGUCAGUCAUGUAUGUGUGAAGGUAGAAUUCUGCUUACCUACUAUGAGAACUUGAA